GGUGAUGAUUUAAUUUGUUUGAUUCAGUAUUUUACUGUAUUGGACUUUUUGCUAUUCUGUUGACUAAAAUACAAUGCCGCACAAUAAUUGCUUUAAAUGUGCCUGAAAUGUAGGUUUUUGCAUAAAAAAAACAACCUUCAACCUUGAUUGAGACAAAGGCAAUAAUUCAAAUGCAAUUCAAACUACACACAGUAUUUAAUAUUUUCAAAUGGUUACAAUAGCACAUUAUUUGGGUAUUUUUAUCUUUGGGGCAAAUUUAGGAUUAAUAUGGGGAUUGUUUUUGGAGGUAUUCACUUUACAUGGUGUUCAAGAUGGUUACUUCCGCCCACUCUGAAGAGUCUCGGCGUCUGAUUGGUCCAAUUUUCAGUUAGGCGCCGCCUGAUUGGCCGCUGGACGAUGUCUGCUCCUAACAGAGGGCUAAAUCACUAGUUAACUAUUUUCAUCAUGGAAGUUAUACAGCUCAUGUAUCACACUCAAUAUUGAAUAUAUAUAUAAAGGGUUUUCCAAAAGGACCAUUUAUAAUCGAAAUACACAACUUCACACACGAUUUUGAGCACAACAGAGCGCUCAGUGAACAUCACUUCCGGGACCUGCAUCACCGGAGGGGGACAUCUAUCUUGGCCACAAACAAUCUUUGACAGUCUUCGGCAGCAUGGUUGAAUCAGGUGAGCAUAAAAUGGAGUUUAACGUAAUUAAAUAGACCAAUGUUUUUUAACAUAGGAAAAUAGUUCAUUAUAAUCAACAGUUAAAUGUUGUUGUUAUUAAUUGCAAUCAGAUUUGAUUUUAUGAGGUUAAAUUAAGCAUUUCAGUUCUGGGCCAAGGCCAAGGCAUUUAACAUUUUUUUUUAAAGUUGCAUGGAAGAUUAUAAGUAGCAGUGAUUGUCACACACACACUAGGUGUGGUGAAAUUAUUCUCUCCAUUUGACCCAUCACCCUUGAUCACUAUGCUAGUAAACAUUUUCUUAAUUUUAAACAAGACAGACUAGAGUUCUUCAAAUUGUUUAUACUUUUUCUCAAAUACAAAUAUUUCAAGCUGAUAAGCACUGUGGAGUUGGCAUGUUACUGAUAUUGUUACAUUAGUACUUUGUUUGAGAAGCUUCAUGUCUGCAUUGAGCCUAAAUUUAACAGUUUUUGAAGGGUUUAGUUCUUUGUUUUAUUUCUGUGUCACUGACUUUUUUCAUUUUUAUGUGUGGAUUUGUUAGGCGCAUCAACACAUGAUGUAGACAUCGUGCCCAAAAGAAGAGCGAGACGUAAUCCUGAGGCUGAAGCCACCGAGUUUAUUUGAUCUGGAUGUGACAAGUCUUGUUUUAAGGCCCCGUGGAUCAAUGAUUGGAAAGACACCAACUGUUGAUGUUCUAUCUCAACAUUCUCCAGAUUCAUGUGAGCGAUAAACCGACUUCAUCCCUCCAACAGACACCAACUGUUGGGGUUCUAUCUCAACAUUCUCCAGAUUCAGAUGUGAGCGAUAAACCGACUUCAUCCCUCCAACAGGUUAUUACAAGUCUAUUUUUACUAUAUCUGCUCUAAAUGUGACCCAACCUAUAUUUUGAAAGACAUUUAUUAAUUUUAAUCUCUCACAGAUCAGUUUAUAUGACAACUUUUUCGUAAGGGUACAUCCAUGUUAGUCAGUAAGGAGUUUGGAACUCAUGUUUAGCAAAACAGGAGAUGUUACAAGUCAACAACAUACAUUCUACAUGUGACCACUCGUCAUGUCCUUAUAUUGUUUGAACCAAGAAAGACUUAGGUGUGUUUCAUAUAAGGUCCUCAUAUUUUCUAAACCAGAUUAGUGUGUGUUACAAUGUUAAUGUCCAAGCUUUAAAAUGAGUGUCUCAAUUCAGGUCCUCAUAUUUUCUGAACCCGAUUUU